rnacentral:snRNA from 1 species
GUGCUCACUUCAGCAGCACAUAUACUAACAAUGGAACAAUACAGAGAAGAUUAGCAUGGCCCCUGUGCAAGGAUGACAUACAAAUUUGUGACACAUUCCAUAUUUUU